CCUACGGGCGGCUGCAGUGAGGAAUCUUGGUCAAUGGCCGUAAGGCUGAACCAGCCAAGUAGCGUGAGGGAAGACUGCCCUAUGGGUUGUAACCCUCUUUUUUGCGGGGAUAAAGGUGUCCACGUGUGGAUGUUUGCAGGUACCGCAUGAAUAAGGCCCGGCUAAUUCCGUGCCAGCAGCCGCGGUAAUCCGGAAGGUCCGGGCGUUAUCCGGAUUUAUUGGGUUUAAAGUGAGCGUAGGCCGGUCAUUAAGCGUGUCGUGAAAUUUUGUGCCUCAACCAUGAGAGUGGGGCGCGAACUGGAGACCUUGAGUGCGCGGAAGGCAGGCGGAAUUCGUGGUGUAGCAGUGAAAUGCUUAGAUAU
rnacentral:rRNA from 1 species